AGUGAACGCUGGCGGCAGGCCUAACACAUGCAAGUCGAACGAACCGCAAGGUUAGUGGCGGACGGGUGAGUAACACGUGGGAAUCUACCUUUAGAUGAGGGAUAACUCAGGGAAACUUGAGCUAAUACCGCAUAAUGUCGAAAGACCAAAGAUUUAUCGUCUAAAGAUGAGCCCGCGUUAGAUUAGUUUGUUGGUGGGGUAAUGGCCUACCAAGACUACGAUCUAUAGCUGGUUUGAGAAGAUGAUCAGCCACAUUGGGACUGAGACACGGCCCAAACUCCUACGGGAGGCAGCAGUGGGGAAUAUUGGGCAAUGGGCGAAAGCCUGACCCAGCCAUGCCGCGUGAGUGAUGAGGGCCCUAGGGUUGUAAAGCUCUUUCAGGGGGGAAGAUAAUGACGGUACCCCAAGAAGAAGCUCCGGCUAACUUCGUGCCAGCCGCCGCAGUAA
rnacentral:rRNA from 1 species